UCGUAGAAAAUGCUGUCGUAGUACACACGUCUCUUCGUCUAUUUUUCUAAACGUAAUAUGAUCUCAAACUUUGAACAUUAUGGGUCCUAUUUUUGUAGACUGGCGCCCGUGCCCACUGCGUCAGAACAGACGUAACUUCAUUUUCAUUGUCGGGACAAGUCUAGUUUAUCGCGUUUCGGACCGCGUUGUGCCUCAAUGGCUGUUCCGGCGAAUGGAGCUCCUGACGCAACAGACAAUUUGAUUAAGGCUGUCACAGAGAUUAAACUGUGC